rnacentral:lncRNA from 1 species
AAUCCACCAUCUCUAUGUCAAAACCACAUGAGGAAAAUAAAUGUGGCAUCAUUUACUUGGGCGUUUAAGAGAGGAGUCCUUCUCUUCCACUCCUCUUAAUUUUCUUACAUGCUUCCAUACAUUUUCUUUAAUUCCUCAUGACAUAUGAUGGUCUUGGGAUAUGGGAUGUGGAAGAGGAGGAAGAGUCCUCUUGAAAGGAAUUUGAAUACCAAAUAAUAAAUGGGACGCCAUAUAUUUGCG